rnacentral:rRNA from 1 species
CCAGACUCCUACGGGAGGCAGCAGUGGGGAAUAUUGCACAAUGGGGGGAACCCUGAUGCAGCGACGCCGCGUGGGCGAGGAAGUAUUUCGGUAUGUAAAGCCCUAUCGGCAGGGAAGAAGAAAUGACGGUACCUGAAUAAGAAGCACCGGCUAAAUACGUGCCAGCAGCCGCGGUAAUACGUAUGGUGCAAGCGUUAUCCGGAUUUACUGGGUGUAAAGGGGGCGCAGACGGCAGCGCAAGCCAGGAGUGAAAGCCCGGGGCCCAACCCCGGGACUGCUCUUGGAACUGCGCGGCUGGAGUGCAGGAGGGGCAGGCGGAAUUCCUGGUGUAGCGGUGAAAUGCGUAGAUAUCAGGAGGAACACCGGUGGCGAAGGCGGCCUGCUGGACUGCGACUGACGUUGAGGCCCGAAAGCGUGGGGAGCAAACAGGAUUAGAUACCCCCGUACUG